AUUGAACGCUGGCGGCAUGCCUUACACAUGCAAGUCGAACGGCAGCACGGGAGCAAUCCUGGUGGCGAGUGGCGAACGGGUGAGUAGUAUAUCGGAACGUGCCCAGUCGUGGGGGAUAACGCAGCGAAAGCUGUGCUAUUACCGCAUACGAUCUAUGGAUGAAAGCUGGGGAUCGCAAGACCCCGCGCGCUUCGAGCGGGCCAUAUCAGAUUAGCUAGUUGGUGAGGAAAAGGCUCACCAAGGCGACGAUCUGUAGCUGGUCUGAGAGGACGACCAGCCAUACGGGAACUGAGACACGGUCCAGACUCCUACGGGAGGCAGCAGUGGGGAAUUUUGGACAAUGGGCGAAAGCCUGAUCCAGCAAUGCCGCGUGCAGGAUGAAGGCCUUCGGGUUGUAAACUGCUUUUUUACGGAACGAAACGGUGAGCUCUAAUACAGUUUGCUAAUGACGGUACCGUAAGAAUAAGCACCGGCUAACUACGUGCCAGCCGCCGCCGUAA
rnacentral:rRNA from 1 species